AGAGUUUGUCCUGGUGGUGACUGUGUGGUGGAUGAAACAUUUAUAUCAGGACUAGAGAUCCCUGACCAAGAUUGUGGAGGAGCUGUGUUCCUGCCUGGUGAGGGUAGUAUAGCUGACUUUGUCCAACAGUUAGGUGGUACCAUGACUAUAGAAGGAUUUUCUGUCAUCUUAGCACAGUUUGGUGUAUCUAGUGUUUUUCAGAAUGAAAUUAGUUGUGAACUGCCAGAAAUACAAA